UGCAUCCGUAGCUCAGCUGGAUAGAGUACUCGGCUACGAACCGAGCGGUCGGAGGUUCGAAUCCUCCCGGAUGCAGC
rnacentral:tRNA from 1 species